GGGGAUUUAGCUCAGUGGGAUAAGCCCUUGCCUGGCAAGCAUGAGGUCAUGAGUUCAAUCCCCA
rnacentral:tRNA from 1 species